rnacentral:lncRNA from 1 species
CUUUGCCUCUGAAGUUAACUUGGCACUUUGACACUAUCAUCUUCUUAGUCCUUAGUUUUUUUUUUUUCAUUUAUAAAGUAAUGAUGAAAUUUUGUCCACCUCCCUUGCUGGAUUGGUGUGAGGAAAAGAUAUUUUAUAGAUAAAAUCAAAAUCCAAAAAUGUAGAAUGACUGGACAAAUAUAGAUACUAAUGUCUAAUUUAUUUCUCUAAUUGAGAAAUCACUGAUAACUAGAAUUAGAAUAAAAAUUGCCACAUUGACAAGAUCCAGCACCUUCUUUAAUUGGGUGCCAUAUCCACAGGGAUCACAAGUGAAAAGUAAACCUAGGAAAUGUCAGAGGUGAAAACAUAUUUAAUCAUCACUCUGAAUCCCUGACAUAACCACAUAAGCUUUGUCAAUAUAGUCUUACAGCUAGGGUGGAUUAGAGUGCCAUUUUUCCUUUGCCUUAGGCUGUUAAUAUAAAGGCAUACUUUUUCUUUUUUAAAUUCCAAACCAAGUGGGGAUAAGUUAUUGUUAGAAACUCAUAAUAACUGCAAAAUUUUAAGACCCCAGGGCACUAUAUUUUUUAUGCAGUUCUAUGCUAAAGGGAAGCCUCUGCUUUUGGAUAAGCCAAGUGAGGAUGCAUUUCCACCUUCUCAUUGUUUCCAUUACAGCCUUUAUUAUAUCACAUUUUACUUGUGUUUAUAUCUUUGAAGGAGCAACACAGAGGAAGGAUUAGAACACUUUAGAGACAGAGUCUUGUGGAACACUCAUGAAAAAUUAAAUGUCCCCAGCAUACAAAAAAGUAGGUCAUUUUAUUUUAUAUUAAAUUUAUAUAUCAUAGUCACUGAUUAACCUGUAUUGGGUAUAAUAAUUAGAUGUCUGAACUUUAUUGUCUAAGUACCUACCAUCUAUAACAGGCAAAUAGUAAUCAAGUUAAAAGGUUAUCCGAGAAGCUUCUUCCUCUAAUUUCAUUGCCCUUUGUCUUGUAUUUCAUGAUUUCACAUCUCUAUCUUGCAUACAUCUAGGAUUCUCAAUCCAAAUGGCCUAUUUUUAUCUCCUAUUGCUUAUAUCAGUAAAGGAUGAAAAAUCCCAGGUCUGUAUAGAAUAUACGGGCAUCACAUUAGGAACCAUAUCUGAAUCACUGGUGUUAGAAUUUCAAGGAUGAGUAUUUGAUGAAAUGACACAUAAAACUUUAUGUUUUUCAAAGCUAUAGGAUGGCUGAGUGGACAAAGAAUAAAAAAAUAUUCACUCUCAAGUGCAAAUUGCAUGAACUGUCGGCAGAUAUUCCUCUCCUAAUGUAAAACCACAGCACAGUAACCUGAGACAUAUUUGAUCAUUCCUGGAGACAGGAUGAUCUCUUUGGAGGACAUUUGAAAACAUUAUUCUGAAGGUCGGAAAAGGACAUUGUAUGGGUUGUAUGAAAUAUUAACUAUACAUUCAAGUGUUACAUUGAAGCACUCUAGAGAAAGGGGAAUGUAUUUGAUUGUAGAUUUCAGAAAAUGUAUGAAAGAAGUAAAUUCAUAUUUUACUCUCAUCAUCAUUGAGAAAAUAUAACCUGUACAUUUUUGAUGACUUGAUGACUGGUUCAGAAUAGUAACAUUUUGAUUAAUUUCAAUUGCAAAUGUUAAUUGUUUGAUGAUAGUAUAUUUUUUAAUGUUCUAAAAAUCAUGUUAAUUAUUUUAUCAUUUCAUAUAAACAUCCAUACUUUUAACAUGGCAUGGCUUUUUAAGUAUUUAUUAAUAUUUUUACUUUGCUUUGGAAGAUAACACAAAAUUCAACUCCAAAUUACUCCUUAAACUCCACCAAUAUUCUACCAAAGUAAUAAUUAUUACAUUUGUAGUGAUCCAGAUCAAAUAUUCACAUUGUUCUUUGUGGUUUGAUAAUGGCUUUAUGAUUUAGAUUUAAAGGAUUUUGAUAGGUGAAGGAUGGUUGUACUGUCCUGAAACAUCAGAAGUUGAAGAUUUGAAACAUUACUGUAGUCACAUAAAUCAACCAAUUUCCCUUUGUUUUCAUAGUGCAACAUAUUUUCCCUUGUUGAAAAUGAAUGCAUCAGCAUAAAAGCCUCUUGAGCAAGAAAAAUGUAUAUUGAUCACUGUAAGUGCUUUUCUGUAAUAUUGUGGCAUUAUUGAAAUUGACCCUAAACCCUGUUUUAUUUCUAACAAUAGAUUACUUUCGUGUGUUGAUAUUUAUUUAUCGAUAGCUUAAUAGAGAUGCAAAAGGAUUUUUAUUGCAGGAAACAUAUGUAAAACCUUGUCUUGCUAUUUGAAUUAGUUUGUAGCUUUAGGGAAGCAUCACAAGCAUUAUAUUCACUAUAAGAAUUAGCAGGUUACCCAUCAUAAUUCUUGUAACACUUCUGUCCUCCAAUAAUGUGUUGGAAUAGAUAUGCAUAUUGAAUCAUCUGUGUUACUACAGUGUAAACCUGACUAGUAAGCAUGUGGAAAAAAUAGACUCUAGAGUGAAGGGCUAUUUGUGUUAUAACCCGAAUUCUGGUUUUUCUUAGACUUACCAUAUCAUCGCUUUGCACUUCACAUUUUCCAUUUGGAAAAUGGUGAUAACAUUAGUCUUCCUCUAGCUCAAUGGAUGUUACAGAAAUAGUUGAGCUAGCAUAUGCGAAUUGUUCACAGAGCUUUGGAAGUUUCUAUGCAGAUUGAGGUAAUGUGUAGGUCAGAGUCACUGACCAGGGCAGGUGUUUCCUCACUGAUACUUAGUUUUUACCAUUCUAAGGUUAGAGCAGGCUGUCUGCCAAAAGACAUGGACUAUUGUGAAGAACUGGCAUGGAUUCUAGAACUUUAGCCCUGCCUCUCUCCUUCUGCAUUCCUGAGGACUUGGAUCAAAUGGUGAUUGGCAGUAUGGACCGAUGGACAAUUUGCUUCAUGAUUCACAGACCCUCUCUUGCUACUUAAAACUGUCCUUUGUAUUUCUUUCUUUCUUUCUUUUUUCCUUAGCAUCUUAAACUCUGGAGUGAAUAAAAUGCUGAGGAACAUGUGUUAUUUUACAUGUACAAUAUGUACAAAAUCAUAGAUAUCUUGAACACGUAUGUGUACAACAUAUACAGAAUUGUACAUAAUAUGUCACAGGUGUUUUAGAAUGCUAGAUAAAGAUUAGAGAAACAUAAUUAGCUAGAUUAAACCACUAGUCAUUUAAAUGCAAAUAACCUGUUAUACCUGUAUGCUGUUACUUCAUACUUUAUUGUCACAAUUUAUACCAUAUGUUUUAGCAAAGGUAAUAAAAAUGGAUUAAGAGCCUUACAUAAUCAGUGUGAAACAGUCACAGUAUUAAAACUUUAAUUUAAAAUUUAAAAUUCAAGAGCAAAAUCUAGUACUUAGUGAAAUCAUUUGUAUUUCUGACCCCCCCAUAUGUUUUGUUGUUAAGCUAAUUUAUGAUUAUGCAGAUGUGGAUUUUGUGGUUUCUUCAUAAAAUAAAGCAAGAUGAAAAGGUAUCACUAUGAAUUAAGAAACAUUCUUAAUUUCAUUAUAUUUUUCAGAACAUUUUAAGUAAGGAGAACCAGAGACUAACAGUUGAUACCAGGGGAGUGUUGAAUACAUAUCAGAGCAAUUAAAGCUAUAUAUUUUGAUAUGUGGAAUAUCCUGUGAGAAUAUUGAGGGCAGAAGUACUUUAGAAUAUAUUUCCUUUCAGGACUAUUUUUGAAACUAAAACACUUCCCCAAGCCCACUCACAAAUUAUGUAUGUUAGUUUCUAAAUGUUCUAUUUUUUAAAGUUUUAUUGAAGUAUAUUUGACUUACAAGGUUGUGAUAAUUUUUGCUGUACAACAAAGUGACUCAGUCAUACAUAUACAUAUAUCCAUUCUCUCUCAGAUUCUUUUCCCACAUUAAAUUAUCACAGAAUACUGGGUAGGGUUCUCUCUGCUAUUCAGAGGUCCCUGUUGGUUGGCCAAUCAUUCCUUGUACCUCAGUGUGCAUUUGCUGAUUCCAAACCCUGAGUCCAUCUCUCCCAUGCCCCCACCCCCAACCUGUCCCUUUUGGUAACCAUAAAUAUUUCAAAGUCUGUGACUCUAUUUCUAUUCUGCAAAUAAGUUCAUUUGUAUCCUUUUUAAAGAUUCUACAUAUAAGUGAUACUGUAUAUGUUUCUCUUUCACUGUCUAACUUCACCUAGUAUGAUCUAAAUGGUCUAGUAUAUUUGAAAAUCAACUAUCUUUGCAUCACUGGGUCAAUUUAAGAUCCUAGUUCUAUCUUCAGUGGCUCCCCAGUAUGCACAAAAAAAGGGGCAGAUUCAAUAAUUUUCAAGUGAAUUCUUCACUGAAUUCACCAAAGCUAAUCUCCUGCUCAAAAUCAUUGUAACCAAUGCACAGAGUUUAGCAGAUUGUCUUUUAAAACAGAUGGUGACAUAAAAAUAAAUUACUAAUGUAGAAAAUUGAAAUGAGAAGUAAUUAGAAUACUUUUCCUGCUUGACAUGACUGUUGAAAACAAAAGUGGUGUUUUGUUUCAGAUACCACUCAGUUGCCUGCUUUAUUUUUGCAAAUCUCUGAGGGCUUUAGAAUGAACAGAUACUCUGAGAUCCUGAAAGUCUGAUGAAAUGAUUGUAAACAGUUUGAUACUUCAGACUUUUCAUGUGUGAAUUUAAGAUUUAUAGUGCACUUAAAAAUCAUCUGUAUCUACAACAUGCAUGCAAGCAGAUUCCAGGUCUUAUCAACUGGUUGUUGGAUCUCUUUUCAAUAGCACAUCUUUAUCUUAGAUCAUAUAGAAAGGGUGAAGAUGAUUUAUAUUGCUUCCACUCACUGUUUAAAUCUAUCAUAUAACCAGGAAAAUAGUUCUUUGAAUCUGCUUUUUAGUGCUUCUAUAAAAUACUAAUUAAUAUAAUGUAGAUUAUAUAUAAUAGAUAAUAUAAUGCAUGAUCUAUUAAAUAACACAUAUCCUGCUAUAUACAGGAUACCAUCAGUUUCACUACAUAUCAUAGAGCAUAUACCACAUACUGUGGCAGGAUAUGGUAGGUAGACAAUGCAGGCGUGUUUGUGUGUGAUUGAUGUGUGUGUUUGUAUUGGCGGAGGUUAAAGUUGAGGAUACCUUUUUCAAGGGGGAACAAGGAUUUUCCUGAGCAAACUGUGUAAGGAUGUUUCUGUCAGCAUGUGUUUUAUAUUCUUCCUCUGCUUCCUUCAACUUCCAGGCACUCUAUUUUUUGACAGUUUAAUUCCCAGACAUUGAGGACUAGAACAGAUGGAUGCUGGAAUCCUGGGAGAAUCUUGGCUGAAGGCACAGGUUUAUCUUCUACAAACACACAAGAUAAGAGCAUCUUAAAAAUGAGAUGGGAAGACGUUUCAAGGAUCGUCUUUGCCAUUCCAAAUUAAAGCAUUAUUUCUUUUUUUUUUUUUUUAUGGUCUUCUAGAGCAACUGUCUAGUUCCUUUAGAACAACUGUAGCAAGGUAACUAUAGUGUAAUGGUUAAGAGCUUUUGCUGUGGAUCAGUCCAGCUGGGUAUAUCUGUUCUACCUUUGCUGGCGCAGAGAGCUUAGCUUUUUUUAUGCUUCAGUUUCUUCAACUGUAAAAUGAAGCUAGUAAUAAUACUUACCUCACAGUGUGGUUGAGGGGAUUAAAAGAGAUGAUGCAUGUAAAGCGUGGCAUCGUGCCUGGAAGAAAACUCUCAAUGACACUUAGCAGUUGUUUUUAUAUGUUUACAUUGUUGGAGAGCUGGUUAAAAAGUUUUGUUUUUGUUUUUAUUUUUUUUACAUAUUUUAAGUCCCAGAUGACAAUCUCGCUAAUUCUAUGUUUUAGAAGAGUCUAUGCCUUGGUGGAGAUGUUUAAAAAGAUUAUCUGUUUCAGAGUUCCCAUCGUGGCGCAGUGGUUAACAAAUCCGACUAGGAACCAUGAGGUUGCGGGUUCGGUCUCUCCCCUUGCUCAGUGGGUUAGCGAUCCGGUGUUGCAAUGAACUGUGGUGUAGGUUGCAGAUGCGGCUCAGAUCCCGCGUUGCUGUGCCUCUGGCAUAGGCAGGUGGCUACAGCUCCAAUUAGACCCCCAGCCUGGGAACCUCCGCAGGAGCGGCCCAAGAAAUAGCAAAAAAAAAAAAAAAAAAAAAA